AGCUGUCACAACUCUUACAACUGCAAUCUGGUACAAGUCCAAAUGCAAAAUCUCAGGGAGAGCAAAAUACCAGUACAGGAAUUACUUGUGUUGACCAAAACCCUAAGGCUCAAGUUGCAAGUGUACCAUCUCAAAAUGAAAUCCCCACAGUUAGCGCUCACUGCAGAAGAUAUGAAAAUGGAUCGGCUGUUAUUGUGCCUGAAACAUUGGAGGAAGCUCACAUAGAACCUGAAAUAGAAAUUGUCCAUUCUGCUAUUGGAAAAGGCCCAAUAAACACUGGCAAAAAAAUACCAGAAAAUGCAAAAGUGGAGCAUAACGUGAGUCAAGAA